rnacentral:rRNA from 1 species
UACGAAGGGGGCGAGCGUUGUUCGGAUUUACUGGGCGUAAAGCGUGCGCAGGCGGUAAUGUAAGACAGAUGUGAAAUCCCCGGGCUUAACCUGGGACCUGCAUUUGUGACUGCAUUGCUGGAGUGCGGCAGAGGGGGAUGGAAUUCCGCGUGUAGCAGUGAAAUGCGUAGAUAUGCGGAGGAACACCGAUGGCGAAGGCAAUCCCCUGGGCCUGCACUGACGCUCAUGCACGAAAGCGUGGGGAGCAAACAGG